UACGAAGGGUGCAAACGUUGCUCGGAAUUAUUGGGCGUAAAGCGCACGUAGGCGGCUAUCUAAGUCGGAUGUGAAAUCCCUCGGCUUAACCAAGGAAGUGCACCCGAAACUGGAUAGCUUGAGUACAGAAGAGGAUCGCGGAAUUCCCGGUGUAGAGGUGAAAUUCGUAGAUAUCCGGAGGAACACCAGGGGCGAAGGCAAUCCCCUGGGCCUGCACUGACGCUCAUGCACGAAAGCGUGGGGAGCAAACAGG
rnacentral:rRNA from 1 species